rnacentral:lncRNA from 1 species
AAAAUUUAGGAGAUGACUAAAUGGGAUCUAAUGCAUUUGGUGAACAAAUUCUUUUUGAGGGGUGUUUUGAACGAAGCAAUUAACUCAACCUAUAUCGCUCUAGUCCUAAAAAAACAAUCUAUUUUAAGGAUUGUUGAUAUCAGACAUAUAAGCUUACUUACAAGAUCGUACAAAAACAUCAUUGAGGUAUUGGCAGAAAGAUUAAUGGCGAUGCUAAAUUUGGUGAUAUCGGCACCUCAAUCGGCUUUUAUUC